rnacentral:lncRNA from 1 species
UCUACUCCACCCCCCCUUUUUUCGUUCGUCUUCUCCACUGCCAGCCUCUACACCGUCCACCCUAACAUUGAUCUAUAGUCCUAUUGUGAGGCCUUAGCUCUAACUCUAAUCCUGCGGUUGAUCCUCAUUAUUUUUUUCUCUAUUUUCAGUCGUCUUCUCCAAUCCAAGCUCCCCUAUGGCUGAAACCCUAACACUAACCUACAACCGUAACCCUAACCCUGACUUGACCCUGAUCGGACCCUGACCCUGACACUAUUCCUAACCCUAUCC